CUGGCUCUGGCUCACCCUCGCACCGUCACCCGCGCACCCCACCACCCGAUUCCCGAGCCGACCCACCAUUUCUGGCUUUCCGCCUUCUCUUCUCCUCCCUCCCUCCCGCAGCGCCGUCGCCGCGCAUACAUCUCCACACCCAGCAGCAGCAGCAGCAAAGAACGCCGCCGCCGCCGCCGAGGACGACGAAGACGGACGAGGAGGAGGGGCAUCUGCUGGGUUCCGCCGCAGGGAGAGUUGAAUAAUGGAGUUCGUGCUGAUCAUCUCUUUGCCGCUCCUCAUCCUGAUCAUAAUCGUCGCUGUGGUUCUUUGCAUCAUCUGCCGUUAGCUGAAUGGGUGACACUUCAUUGUUCUUCAGGCCCAUCCUUGAUGUGAACAUAUCAUGUACUAUUAACUAGCAUAUCAUGAUUCAUUCAUGACUCAACAGAGCUUCUUAUACUUUCUUUUGGGAGGGCCUGUGUGUUUGUGAUUAGUUGGCCCUAGCUUUACCUUUUUUUUUUCUGAUGGCAGCAAAAAUACAUUGAUUCUGAGUGUCAUAUACAUAUGUGCUGUGAGAAUCC